rnacentral:misc_RNA from 1 species
ACUUAUGUCAUUCAGAGGAUUUUAUUUGCGGAAGGGAAAGCAAGUUUAGUGGUUGUGCGGUCAUGUAAUCAUUUUUUAUGAUGUGUUGUGAGUGAAUUUGCGUUCGUUUAAUGCCAGUGUAUCUUAAAUUAUUAUGUUCUUGCUGGAAAGCUCCGUCAGUCAUGUGAAACUACCUAGAAGGUGACCGGUUAUUUCAACAUGGUGAAGUUAACUAUAGAUCUGAUAGCCCGUGGCACAUCGGGCUACACAAAGAAAAAACGAGAUGAAACAAUGCCACAGUAUCUGCGUCGUUUGACUCAUUUGUACCUUGAAGACAAAAACAUAGAUGAAGUGGGUGAAGAUCUGGCACUUUGCCGCAAUCUGAUCGUGCUGUAUUUGUAUGACAACAGUCUGGCCAAGAUCCCACUUCUACACCACAACUGUAACCUUACUCAUCUCUAUCUGCAGAACAACGGAAUUAGCAAGAUUGAAAAUCUCUCAUCACUUACAAGACUCACCAAACUGUAUCUGGGAGGUAACAAGAUAACAGUUCUCGAGGGCUUGGAAAAACAAGAACAUCUUCAGGAGCUUCAUUUUGAAAAUCAGCAUUUACCACCUGGAGAGAAAUUGCUGUUUGAUCCUCGUUCUCUGAGAAAACUAGCUAAAAGUUUACAAGUACUAAAUGUGUCUGGUAACAAUCUGGAUAGUUUCACCGAUUUGGAGUGUUUAAAAAACUUGAACCAGCUGAUGGCCACUGACAACAAUCUGAAUGACAUGAAAGAACUUGCUCAUAUUCUUGGUCAGUGGACUUGCAUGUGCCGCUUGGAGCUUAUGGGUAAUCCCAUUUGUCAUAAAGCAAAAUACAGGGACCGUGUCAUCAUUAUGUCCCAAAAACUAGCAGUUUUAGAUGGUAAGGAAAUAACAGAAACAUCCAGACAAUUUCUUCGUAACUGGCAUGCCAGUAAGGAAACCCAGAAGAAGAGACAUGACGAAUUUAUUCGACAGGGAAUGCCAACUGAGAUCUCAGAGCUAUCAGGAUUACCACGUAAACAGUUUGAUGAGCUUUUAGCAAAAAACAGACUGGAUGACAAUGAUUUAAAGACAUUCCAAAGAGCAAACAAGACAAGAAGUGGAGUGUUGAGAACAAAAUUACCUGACAUUCAAACAGUUCGCUUUUUGAGCUCAGGGAUGCCCGCCCACUCUGGGUUGAAAACCAUUUAGCCCUGUCAUAGUGAAAAGUCAUACCCAGGCUCCGUUGUUGAGCAAUUAGUGGGUCUAGUCCCGCAACAGAUACAGUGACCACUACAAUUUGUUCCGUGGUAUAUCCUCUGCACCAGCAAGGCGACCAAUCACCCUGACCAUAGAGGUCGCU